rnacentral:rRNA from 1 species
GACGGAGGGCGCGGGUGUUACUCGUUUUGAUUGGGUGUAAAGGGUACGUAGGUGGGUCUUAGUUUUCCGAGCUGAAAUCGCGGAGUGUUCCUACGCGAGGGGCCGGUUAUAAAGGGACCUAGAGUUGAAAAGAGGUUAUGGUAAAUUCGUGCGUAGGGGUAGAAUCCAACAAUACACGAAUGAACACCAGUAGGCGGAGGCUCCUUUCCUGCUUCAACUGACGCUAAGGUACGGAAGCUUCGGUAGCAAACAGG